UACGUAGGUGGCAAGCGUUGUCCGGAUUUAUUGGGUUUAAAGGGUGCGUAGGCGGCCAAAUAAGUCAGCGCUGAAAUAUCCCGGCUUAACCGGGAGGGUGGCAUUGAUACUGUUUGGCUAGAGUAAAGUUGAGGUAGGCGGAAUUGACGGUGUAGCGGUGAAAUGCAUAGAUAUCGUCAAGAACUCCGAUAGCGUAGGCAGCUUACUAAACUUGAACUGACGCUGAUGCACGAAAGUAUGGGGAUCAAACAGG
rnacentral:rRNA from 1 species